GAGUUUGAUCAUGGCUCAGAUUGAACACUGGCGGAAUGCUUUACACAUGCAAGUCGAACGGCAGCACGGGAGCUUGCUCCUGGUGGCGAGUGGCGAACGGGUGAGUAAUGCGUCGGAACGUACCGAGUAAUGGGGGAUAACGCACCGAAAGGUGUGCUAAUACCGCAUACGCCCUGAGGGGGAAAGCAGGGGAUCGUAAGACCUUGCGUUAUUCGAGCGGCCGACGUCUGAUUAGCUAGUUGGUGGGGUAAAGGCCUACCAAGGCGACGAUCAGUAGCGGGUCUGAGAGGAUGAUCCGCCACACUGGAACUGAGACACGGUCCAGACUCCUACGGGAGGCAGCAGUGGGGAAUUUUGGACAAUGGGGGCAACCCUGAUCCAGCCAUUCCGCGUGAGUGAAGAAGGCCUUCGGGUUGUAAAGCUCUUUCAGCUGGAACGAAACGGUACGCUCUAACAUAGCGUGCUAAUGACGGUACCAGCAGAAGAAGCACCGGCUAACUACGUGCCAGCAGCCGCGGUAAUACGUAGGGUGCGAGCGUUAAUCGGAAUUACUGGGCGUAAAGCGUGCGCAGGCGGUUUUGUAAGUCAGAUGUGAAAGCCCCGGGCUUAACCUGGGAAUGGCGUU
rnacentral:rRNA from 1 species